rnacentral:tmRNA from 1 species
GGGGGCGUACCGGUUUCGACGGGGAUAGUUGAAGCUGGAGAAGCGUGCCGAGGUUCCUACAGGCCUCGUUAAAUAGGUAGGAUUAAACAUAAUCGCAGACAACUACGAUUACGCCGUAGCCGCAUAGGCUACCGUCCUCCCGGCCACGCCUGUCGGGUCGGAUGAGGGCGUCGACAAGACAGGAUAGCCGGUUUCCUUUUCCUGUGGGGAAACUGGCGAAAAUCAACAGGACCGCGCCUGAUCGAUCCUGCCUCUGGGAGCGAAAAGGCGUUAAAUGAAAACAGGGGAUGCGCACGGAGAAACUUCAGUGGAAUGUUCUCGGACGCGGGUUCGACUCCCGCCGCCUCCACCA